rnacentral:rRNA from 1 species
UACGUAGGGUGCGAGCGUUGUCCGGAAUUAUUGGGCGUAAAGGGCUCGUAGGCGGUCUGUCGCGUCGGGAGUGAAAACUCAGGGCUUAACCCUGAGCCUGCUUCCGAUACGGGCAGACUAGAGGUAUGCAGGGGAGAACGGAAUUCCUGGUGUAGCGGUGGAAUGCGCAGAUAUCAGGAGGAGCACCGGUGGCGAAGGCGGUUCUCUGGGCAUUACCUGACGCUGAGGAGCGAAAGUGUGGGGAGCGAACAGG